rnacentral:rRNA from 1 species
UACGUAGGUGGCAAGCGUUGUCCGGAUUUACUGGGCGUAAAGAGCGCGCAGGCGGUCGACUAAGUCGAAUGUGAAAGCCCCCGGCUCAACUGGGGAGGGUCAUUCGAUACUGUUCGACUUGAAGGCAGGAGAGAGAAGCAGAAUUCCCGGUGUAGUGGUGAAAUGCGUAGAUAUCGGGAGGAAUACCAGUGGCGAAGGCGGCUUCUUGGCCUGUUCUUGACGCUGAGACGCGAAAGCGUGGGGAGCGAACAGG